rnacentral:rRNA from 1 species
UACGUAGGGCGCAAGCGUUAUCCGGAAUUAUUGGGCGUAAAGAGCUUGUAGGCGGUCUGUCGCGUCUGCUGUGAAAAUCCGGGGCUCAACCCCGGACUUGCAGUGGGUACGGGCAGACUAGAGUGUGGUAGGGGAGACUGGAAUUCCUGGUGUAGCGGUGAAAUGCGCAGAUAUCAGGAGGAACACCGAUGGCGAAGGCAGGUCUCUGGACAGUUCCUGACACUGAGGCACGAAGGCCAGGGGAGCAAACGGG